rnacentral:sRNA from 1 species
ACAUUGAGAAUUAGAUUUGAUAUAAUCUUGCUUGGUUUGACUUGAGUACUAGCUCACAAAACUUCAACUUAAGGCAAAUUUUCUAAGUUUAUGAUAGUUAUGUGUGUGUAUUGAUGCACAAAAAUGCAUUGAUGUGCAUUCUUCUAGGAGCUUAUUAGAGUCUGACUUAUAACAUGUUACAGAGUGGAUGGUUCAGAUAAAGAAUCAAAAAUCUCAGAUGAUGAUUAUGGCGGGACGUUACUGCUUGUGACGAGUUCUCCACUUAGAUUUGAUCGAUAACUCUAACCACACAAUAAUAGUGCUGAAUUGAGAUAGAAAUUUAAUGAAGCUUUUGAUCAAUAAUGGUGACGACGAGAGGCUCCAUCUAAGUCAACGAAGAAGACAAUUUAUAUUAGAGUUCAUGAACUCAACGUGGGUUUAGUAGUUUCAACCUAUAGAGGAAAAAUAAAAACAGAUCAAAGAUAAUCAAAUAAAAACAAAAAAUCGUUGGAGAGAGAUUUGUUUACCCCUUCACGUGGAUGCUAUUAUUAAAAGACGGCUACGUCUAUGAAUUUGAUGAGCUAACAACUGAAGGCGACGAACAGAUCACGACUAUGACUUUUUUGAUGAGCUAAGAACGGAAGAAGGCGACUAUAGCUUGUUCAAUAUAUAAUUUUGAGAAGAUGUGGGGAUGCUAAAUUCUAUUUUUAUUUUUAUUAUUAUCCACAAAUUUUAUUUGAGUAAAUCCUAUUAAACUUAUUUUCCUAAAUUUAAGCAAUACUCGUUUGAUUGUUAUUUUAUUUUAUUUAAUAAAAGCCUAAGUUGUUGUAAUUUUUUUUUACUUUGAAUAUCUAUUUACUUUGAAUUUUACUUAACUAUUUUGUUCUCUCACUUCUACUCUCUCAAUUAUUUUCCAAUUCUUCUUACUUCUCUCUACAAUUUCUGAAAACAUGUAAGUUUUUUUUUAAUAUGUUUAUGUUAGAUUUUGGGGUAUGGAAUGUAUCUCUUAGCUUAGGUGGUUCUGACGAGGUGUGUCCUGUUGUAUUUUGAACAUGAAAAUUUUGUACAUGUUACGUUGGUUAUUUAUAGAUGUGCGAAAACAUAUUGCGAGGGAUUUGCGAGGAACUUGCGAGGAACAUCGCUAUUUUGCUACGAAUUUGCGAGAGAAGUUCAACUACCAACCAAAGCAGGAAGAUUAUUUAAAAUGUGCUGACCUAACCUGCCAAGGAGUCGCAACUCCGACGCAAAAUUUGCUACAAAAAGUUUGUACGCCGUAAAUUUACCGCAGUUUGCGAGGCUUUAUCGUACAGCAAAUCCCUCGCAAUUUGCGAUGACUUUGCGAGGAAUUCUUCCGUCGUUGCAAUUUUCUCGCAAUUGCCACGCAAUAUUGCGUGGGAAUUCUCCCUUGCAAAUUUUGCGACUGAUUAACGACGUAUUGGUUUUCCCGCGCAAAGUGCUCGCAAGUCUAUAGCAAUUUGCGAGGGAUUUACGCCAUCUCAAAUUUCCCUCGCAAAUCGCCUGUUUUCUUGUAGAUUGAGAGAGAUUUCAAAGAGAUAGAAGGAGACC